UUUAGGGUUUAGUAUUUGGUAUAGGGUUUAGGGUUUAGGGUUUGGAUUAAGAUUUGGUUUAGGAUUUAGGAUUUGGAUAGGAUUUGGUUUCAAGUUUAGGGUUUGGAAUAGGAUUUGGUUUAGGGUUUAGGAUUUGGAUUAGGAUUUGAUUAGGGAUUAAGGUUUGAUUUAGGAUUUAGGAUUUGUCUAGGAUUUGAUUAAGGUUGAUUUAGGAUUAGGAUUUGGUUAGAAUUUAAGGUUCUAUUAGAUUUUUGUUAGGGUUUGACUAAGUUUUUUUUAAUAUUCUUUUAUAUUUCUUUAGGAUUUCCUUGUGUUUCUUUUAUAACUUCAAUAAAAUUUAAUU
rnacentral:lncRNA from 1 species